CAGAGACAGAGAGAGACAGAGAGACAGAGAGAGACAGAGACAGAGACACACAGAGAGAGACAGAAAGAGAGACACACACAUACACAGAGGGACUACACAUGUUGUUGCCUGUUGUGAGGGUCUCAGUCGAUCUGUUUUUAGUGAAUAACAAAGAAAACCCAAGAAGCCCCAGGACCCAGCUCUGUGCUGUUUGAAGACAAUGUGUUCCAAUGAGCAGUCUCAAAAGCACACGUUUAGAUGAUGAGGUCCAUGAUGGUCUUUUCUUGCUCCACACCUACCUGUCCUCUCUCCCCCUCCACCAAAGGAGACUGCACAACUGAACACUGUUAUGGGAAUGGGUGUCAAGGAGAAAGAGGAGUGUUGGAUGAAGAUAGGAAUAAAUGGAGACCAGUAUUGUUUUAGUGGGAUGUUGGGAAGCAAGUUGUGACUAAAUUGCGUUGAAAACUUGCAAACUGGAAAACAGAUUGAUGCGUAGCAAGCACUUUUGCAGAAGAAUAUUUCUCAGGACUCCAUGGAGAUGUUCAAGAGUGCAUAUGUCCAUUUAGCUGUCACUGGCAGAGUUCCUGCAACUGAAGUCUUCGCAAAGACUGUUAAAAACCAAAGUCUUAUUCCUGAAUAACCCCUCCUAGCUUGCUUUCCAGAAGAGCUGAGCAGCCCUACUUUUGCUUAGCAUCCUCAUCUACUUGGAAACUUCUAAACGAAGUAUGUCUCUGUUCAGUAGCCAGAUUGAUGCAAAAGGGAAUUGGUUAAGCUAUGUGACUACAGUUCCUCCAGACCAAAUGGGAAUACGAAGACCAGAAAGUGGACAGGGAACAAAGUUCUGUUAGGAGGUUCUAGAGUUAGCCUGUGAGUGUCUUCAAGGAGGCAAAGACACUGCUGACCUUGUUGGAUGUGAUCUUGGCCUGCUCUGGAGAUGCUCACCUAGCCCAUGGAGUCACCUUAGACACAUGGAGCCUAAUUGCACAAAUCUCUCUUCCAAAUCAAUGCCUGGGGCUGAUCAAAGUGUUUACAGGCUGAGUCUGUCAGGGCUCUCACAGCUUCCUGAGAAGGCAACAUCUCAUGAGACUGGUACUGGAAACUGCAAACUUCAGGAUCUGGUUGAAGGCAAAGUUAUAGUGCCAAAAGAGGGUCACUGUGGACAGCCUGGAGUCUGCUCACAAUUUCAUUUCCCUGAUACACUCUUGUGGUCUGUGCGCUGUCGGCCCCAUCUGCGAGUCUGGUCAGUGCUUUGGACACAUACUCUGGAGGGUAUUCGCCGACGGGGUCAUAAUUUUUACUGUGGAGGCGGUUCUGACACCAAGACCUCAAGCUUUGUACUAAGGCCAGUCAUGGGACACUUACUGAUUUUCAAAUCCCAACUGACCCGACAGCGGAGAAACAAUCCCCUGGCAUCAAACUCCUCCAGGACGCGCUCCCCGCUGAGACACGAGGGAGCAUGUAAUUUCAUCUUUGGGUAGCUGAAAUUUGCAAAGAAUAUGUGGUGGCGUUGCAGGGGGAGACCCUAAAGAAGUACAAGCCUUUACCACGAGCGCCACCCAGUGUCCUCCAGGAACAGUGUGCGCACACGAAACUUCCCCAGCUUAGAGGCUUGUCAGGCUAGUCCUGCCCACUACCCAGUGGUCCUGCUUUGUCUCAACUUUCAAUAAACCCCUUUCUCCAGCCCACAUUCUUUUCUUUCUUUUCCUUCCAACAGAUCCGUGCUUUUCUUCUCCCAUUCCAGGGUAUUACCUUUUUUGUUUGUUUGUUUGUUUGUUGUUUGUGGCGGGAGGGGGGCCUGCUCUCCAUCUUUUAGUUCUCAUGUGCUUUACUGACAGUUAUCUUCCCAGCCGGGGUGAAUGGAAGAUUUUGAGAGCCACCCUCUCUCCUAGAGAAUCUGAGGAAUCACUCCCCCUUUUCAUCCAAAUGAGGGACCAGGCAGGCUUUCUGGUCCUUCACUAUUCUAGAGAAGAGGAGACAGGUGUGUCACUCUGAAUCUGCAUGGUAAAUGUGUUAUGGAAGGUACGGGGGAGGGUGAAUCAUUUUAUUUAUUCAUCUAUUUAGAUACAGAACCUCAUAUAUCGCAGGCUGGCCUUGAACUUGCCAUGUAGUGAAGGACACUGUGGCACUGGUGAUCCAACUCAGGGCUUCUGCUUGCCUACUCUACCAGCUGAGCUAAACUAACCCCACCCCCAUAAUAAAUAAAGGUUAGAUAAACUUAACAAUAAAGAUCAGAUAAAUUUAAUAGCCACAUGAACUCCUUUUCCUUUCUGUCCCAUCUGGAAAUCUCUUUAAAUGGGAAUAGAGCAUCCCUCACUUUGGGAAUGAGACUCACUGUAAUGCACAUAAAAAUAUCUAAAGUUUUGUUUUUACACAGCAUUCAGAUGCACACAAUUCAAGUAGAUAAAGGACUGCAUAAUAUAUGCUGAUGUUACAUAUGCACACUUGAUAUAAGCAAGACUGUCUUGGGCUUGAAUAAAUAUCAGGCGCAUGUCUAUCUUUAAAAGUCUUGUUCUUUGGCUGAUAUUUACUUAUUUGC